GCAGAUCCAGCCUGUUGGGUGAAGCAGAGUGUCACCCAGCCCGAGGAGCGAGCCUGGCCCCGAAGUCACAACAGCAGGCAGGUGAAGAGCUGGGCGGCAUCGGGACUCGUUCGUGGUUUUGCCUGACUUUGAAUCCUGUGACCAUGGGAACCGGGAAGGGAAGGCCUUUGCUGAAGCUGCCUGAUGAGGCAGGGCUGUGCAGUCCAGACCAUGCAGAGAAGCUCACCACUUGCAGCAAAGACAGCCAGCCUCGGGAAGACUUAGUGAGGAAUGGUUCAUAGAAAGCAGGCACCAGACGGUGGAGAGACAUAUGCAAGUCUGUUUUGCAAUCCCCUGGACUUUUUCUCUUUUGCCGAUUCUAACCCAGGCGGAUGGCAUCAUGUAUGUGUCUGAGGUCGAUACGAUUCGGCGUGCAUCUCCUUCCAUGUUAGAGUUACAGAGCUCUCCAAAGGCAACUAUA